GGAUAAAGGGGGCUUGGCUGGAGAAAGGGGACAGACAACUCCAGCCGGUCCCGCGCCCGCUUCUCGCCGCCGUCGACCUCCGUUUCGGCCUCCCCCAUGACUCGCGCUGCGACGCCGGGGCUGCUGCUCCUGGCCCGGGUGCUGCUGCUGUGCCGCCCGCUGGCCGGGCACCCCGGGCAGGGAGAGACCACUUGGUCUCGCUUCGCCCGCCUGCCCUUCGAGGAUGAGCUCUUCCUGGACGACACGUUCCCCGACGGCUUCCUGUGGGGGGCGGGCAGCGCGGCGUACCAGGUGGAAGGCGCCUGGAGCCAGGACGGCAAGGGGCCCUCGGUGUGGGACGCCUUCGCGCAGCGCCUCCCCCGGGCCGCCGCCGCCGCCGAGCCGAAGGCGCCGUCGGGGGACGUGGCCAGCGACAGCUACAACCGCGUCGAGCGCGACCUGGAAGCGCUGAGCCUCCUGGGGGUGUCGCACUACCGCUUCUCGCUGCCCUGGGCGCGCCUGCUCCCCAACGGCACGGCGCCCGCCAGCCCCGCCGCCCUGGAGCAUUACGCGCGCUUCCUGGCCGGCCUGAGGCAGCGCGGCGUCGAGCCCGUGGUCACCCUCUACCACUGGGAUCUGCCCCAGCGCCUUCAGGAGCUCUAUGGCGGCUGGCAAAGCCCAGCUCUGGUCGGCUUGUUCCGGGACUACGCCGAGCUCUGCUUCAGGCACUUCGGCGAGCACGUGCGCUUCUGGCUCACCAUGGACAACCCUUACCUCGUGGCUUGGCAGGGCUAUGCCACGGGCAAGCUGGCCCCCGGCGUGCGGGGAGGGCGGGAGGUGGGCUACCGGGUGGCUCACCACCUCCUCCAGGCUCAUGCCAAAGUGUGGCAUCUUUACAACGAUCAUUUUCGUCCUGCACAAAGAGGUAAAGUGUCAAUUGCCUUAGGCUCUCACUGGAUAAGACCUCUACAUAUGACUGAAAACAGUAUUCACGAAUGCCAGAAAUCUCUUGACUUUGUGCUGGGCUGGUUUGCUAAACCUAUAUUUAUUGAUGGAGACUAUCCCCAGAGCAUGAAGAGUAAUCUUUCCUCUGUGCUGCCUGAGUUCACCGAAGCAGAGAAGAAGUUUGUCAGAGGGACAGCCGAUUUCUUUGCUCUUUCGUUUGGGGCCACGUUGAGUUUCCAUCUCGUGGAUACUGGCAUGUUAUUCCGCCAGCUGGAAUCGCUAAGCCUAAGGCCUCUGCUUUACUGGAUAAGCAGUGAAUAUAACAAACCAGAGAUCUUCGUUGUGGAGAACAGCUGGUACGUUUCUGGUAACACUAAGACCGAUGACUCCAAGUACACGAAUUAUCUUAAAAAUUUCAUUAUGGACACUCUGAAAGCUGUCAGGUAUGAUGGAGUUACUGUCAUCGGGUACACGGCUUGGUCUCUCAUGGACGGCUUUGAAUGGCUCAGGGGCUACAGCGUUCGAAGGGGUCUGUUUUACGUUGACUUUCAGAGUCAGGAUAAGAAACUGAUGCUAAAGUCUUCAGGAAUGUUUUACCAGAAGGUGAUAGAGAACAAUGGCUUCCUCCCAGUACCAGAAGACCAGCCCAUAGAAGGGACUUUCCCCUGUGGUUUUGCUUGGGGGGUUACUGAAAGCUUUCUUCAGGUAGAUACCACACGGUCCCAGUUCCUUGACCCUAAUGUUUAUGUUUGGGAUGUCCAUCAUACAAAGCAGCUGAUUAAAGUUGAUGGAAGGGGUGCCCCAAAUCGCAAGCCUCACUGUGUUGAUCUUCCGGCCAUCAGGCUCCAGAUUUCUUUACUUCAGGAAAUGCAUGUCACACACUUCCAUUUUUCGCUGGUGUGGCCUUUGAUUCUCCCUCUAGGUAAUGAAUCUCAUGUUAACCACACUCUCCUGUUUUACUAUCAGUGUUUUGUCAGCGAACUACUCAGAGUCAAUAUAACUCCUGUCGUUGCUUUGUGGCAACCCGUGGGGGAGUACCAAGGGCUUCCUCUCCCUCUCGCUGAGCAUGGAGGAUGGGAGAACCGGCAGAUCGUGGACGCUUUUGUUGAGUAUGCCAGGUUCUGCUUUAAAAAACUUGGCCAGUAUGUCAAAUUUUGGAUCACAAUGAAUGAGCCUAGCGAUGAAAACUUGACAUACAAAGGAGCCCAUAACCUGCUGAAGGCCCACGCCAAGGCAUGGCGCCUGUACGACAAAACAUUCAGGAAGACUCAGAAAGGUAAAAUCUCAAUCGCCUUCCAUGCCAUCUGGGUCGAGCCCUUUUCGAAAAACGAUUACAGUGCAGCCAGACGAGUUUUGGAGUUUAAGAUUGGCUGGCUUGCUGAGCCUAUCUUUGGAAGUGGUGACUACCCAGAUGUGAUGAGGCAGUGGCUUCACCAGAAAAACAGCCUAGGCUCCCAUUAUUUACACUUGCCUUAUUUCUCGGAGGCGGAAAGAAACCUCAUACGUGGUUCGUUCGACUUUUUCGCCUUGAGCCACUACACCACGUCUCUCGUAAGCGCCAUAAACGAAGACCCCGCCAAUUACGACCACCUCCUCGAGGUCCAAAAGCAAAAUGACAUCACUUGGGUGAAGUCACCUGCCAGAACUCCAGUGGUGCCCUGGGGGUUACGCAAGCUCCUCGCAUGGGUGAAGGAUAAAUAUGGCGACAUCCCAAUCUACAUCCUAGCCAGUGGAAUUGAUGACGGGCAGAAACCGGAUCGAGACAAACUGAGAAUAUAUUACAUGGAGCGGUAUAUCAACGAAGCCUUGAAAGCCACAUGACUCCACCUCUCAGAAACUCUUGCUGUCAUUCCUAAAAACCCACAAAUAUUCAUGUAAGGUAAGUUCUAUCCAUCUUUACCCCUGCAAUGUGCCAGCCUCACUUUUACAUCUUAAAGGCUGAACCUGAGAGAUGUGCACAAGUUUAAUGUUGUUAACCAGUAACAUUUCUGCAGGGUAUGUGACUGGAUGUCACCUUUCACACAGUUCCUGAGGAUGCUCAGUUAUAUUACUUUAAUAUCCUGCCUCAUUGGAAAUAUGGUACUGUUGAUUUGCUCCUGGCUGAUGCAAGAGAUCUGUAGUUAGAUGCACCCAGGUAUAAAUUCAGUGUAAGUUUUAAAGUAGUGUGACACACAUGAGCCUCAGGAAUGUUACAUGGCUUGCCUUGGUUUGGGCAUCACUUUAUUAAUUCUCUCCAUUUCCAAAGUUCAGAGGUGAACACCAGUCAUUAUUUAGCCAAAGCAUCACCAUCCACACAUAAGAGGAAGGUAUCAGUGCGCUCAAGAGAAACCCAAUAUUUGCAAAAGUACAGAAAAUAUUUAGGUGCAGGGGAGCCUAAUGGGGAGAUGCCAAAACCUGCCCAGUAUGGACUAAGCUGCUCUUCCAUGGAAUGCUGAUUGACAUCCUUGGAUUUUUUUUGUGGGAAAACGGUUGGAAGGGGAAUGGAUUGGAGUAUCCUGGGGAAAAGCACAGGAGACUGAGCAGGUGCAUGCCACACUGGAACAUUUUGUUACAAGUCCAGCUUGUUUAAGUUCCAGCAUCAGCUGGAAAUGCUAUUUUCUAUUUUGACAGGCAGACGUUCAGUGCCUCACAGAGGCGAUUGGUCUGAAACCGCUGUUCUAUCAAGUGUGCACACGUGUGAGUGUGCACACACAUGCAUAGGACACAGGAGCCCCACACUUUCAGCUCCUGUAGCUGCCAUCUCCUCUUUCCCUCAUCCACUUAGAAGAACGGUGCAUCUAAUACGGCUUUGUAGCCUUUGGUUACUCAUGAGCGAAGGAAUUUCUGCAUGAGUUUGUGGAUAAGUAGCUAGGAGCUUUGCAAGCACCCUAUUUUUAAUCAAGAAACAUGUAUAAAUUAUGUGUUCCACACUCAACAGCCUGAGGGAAAUGCUACCUCCGGAAGAACGAAUAUAUGUUUGUAAAACUAUACCAUCACAAUCUUUUAUGGAAACCUCUGAGGAGCUGGUUUCAUUCUACGAUGCAUCAGUUUCAAAUGGGCUUUGUUGUUCUCUGAUUCUUGCCAUGCCAUUGUUCAUACAUUACGUCCCAGGUCUCACUAAAGGGCUUUUCACAGCUGUAUAUUUGACUCGCAGCAUCUCCUUGCAAUGGACUUGUACAAAAUGCAGGUGUGAACUUCCUUUUCUGGUGGUGGUUUCUUUGGGUCGAAAAUCACCAGGGUUGGGGCUGCUUGAGGCUUCCCUAUUCGGCUGAAAGCUGUGUGCGGAUGUGUGUGUGCACCAUUAGAAAAAGGCAGCUGCCACAGGUGGCAGAUGUUUCUGGGACAUGGCGGGAAAUGGAAGCACGUUGCUGGAGUUGUCUGGAACCCCUUCACCUCACCUGCUGUGCUCAGCCUGCUGUGGGGUAGAAGUUGCUGUCGCAUCAGAAGUGUCGAGGUAGGAUUUGACUGUCAGCCCAUCUGGCUUCAGUACAUGAAAGAAGUGGGGUACCAUCCUGUCUUUUGCCCCUGACAGCAAAACAUCUCAGGUCUGUCCUGUCUGGGAGCCGGAAAUGUUUGAAUUCCCACCCCCCACAGCCUUCUAUGUGCCCAAUGCUGCCCCACAAUUGUUGCUUUUUAUAUUGGGGAAAAUCCCACGGCAUCCCACUCCCCCAAGCUUCUGCAUCUUAAACACACAUAGAUUCAGCAGGUGAUACUUUUCUUUGCCUGGAGAUGCAGUGAUGAGAAAGGACUGGCCUCUUAAAAUUUCUGCUUCCCUCGCCUCUUUUUUUUACAGCCAGCCUGAAAAAGAGCGGGGAAUUCCAAGAGCCACACCACACAUUGCUGGGACGGGGGAUUUCUAGACUAGAGGUUUGUAGAUGUUUCAGCAAGGAAAGGAGUCAAACUGAGCAGCACUUAUUAUUCUCUGACCUUGCACUACCCUGGCUGCUUAUAAGGUUACUCCUCCCCAACUUUUCUUGCCUGCCAGAUGGAAUUUGUUCGUGUCUAUGAGUGCAAUUUGAUAUACUGAGAGGAAGAUGAGUGCUUUGGGGAAAUACGUUAAAUAUAAGGUAAGUAGAUGGGAUUGUAAUAAAGGUUUGUAUCCAGACUUGUGGUGCUCAGAGUUUCACUCGUGUUGCUUUGCUGGAAGGGGAGGCAGUUUCUCCUGCUCCCCUUUGACAAUUUGCGUUGGAGGGCUUGGGGUCAUCUGCAACAGCCUGGCAUGUGGUCCUUCCUCCCUCCUUUCUCCAGUGAGAGUCUUGGCUUGCUUGGAUUCCCAUAUGCAAAUGGGAGGCGACGUCUGGGUCUAACUCUCUAUAAAAACAAAUGCAACAGCAGACACUGGUCUAUAACCAUAACUUGAAUAUCUCAGCAGGUUUGGAGCCACUGCAGGAAAGGCACAUCACUUGAAAAGUAAUGCAGCUGAUCAGAUCAAACACUGCACAGCUUCACCAAGAACCCUGAGAUUCAGAAGGCAGCAAGAUUUAACUCCACAACGAAGUGAAAUGUUAAAGCCCAAUUUCUACUUUGCUCAGAACAUGUUCUACCAUACGAGAGAAAAAUAGAGGGAGACUUCUCGGGGUUGCUGACUCCCUCUUUGUCCAUUCCUAGAUAGGUAUGAAAUAUAAUUUUAUUCCAGCCAGUUUUUAAACAUACUAUCCAUUAUUUGUUGGAAUUAUACUAUGUGGCUGCAGUUUUUAAUGUUUGUAAUGUAUUUAUUGUUUGAAACUUUUUGGAUUUAUUUUUAUCAGAAAAGUGUCAUAUAAAUGACAAAAUGUGAGGAAAUAUUUUUGCCCUAAGGAGAUCAUGAUUCAAGUCCACUAACUUCAGUUAGACCCCAUCCAAAUCCAGAGUCUUAAGAAAUGCAUUUUAGUAGAUGGUUAGAUAAAGCAGGUCUAGGAAUUAUAUCAGCAAAACUUUCUGUAUGAGAGAGGGGACAGUAGUGUGUAUAUAUAUAUAUAUAUAU